rnacentral:rRNA from 1 species
AUUGAACGCUGGCGGCAUGCCUUACACAUGCAAGUCGAACGGUAACGGGCCUUCGGGUGCCGACGAGUGGCGAACGGGUGAGUAAUGCAUCGGAACGUACCUUUCAGUGGGGGAUAACGUAGCGAAAGUUACGCUAAUACCGCAUAUUCUGUGAGCAGGAAAGCAGGGGAUCGCAAGACCUUGCGCUGAUUGAGCGGCCGAUGUCAGAUUAGCUAGUUGGUGAGGUAAAGGCUCACCAAGGGCGACGAUCUGUAGCGGGGUCUGAGAGGAUGAUCCGCCACACUGGAACUGAGACACGGGUCCAGACUCCUACGGGAGGCAGCAGUGGGGAAUUUUGGACAAUGGGGGGCAACCCUGAUCCAGCCAUGCCGCGUGAGUGAAGAAGGCCUUCGGGUUGUAAAGCUCUUUCGGCCGGGAAGAAAUCGCAUGGGUUAAUACCCUGUGCGGAUGACGGUACCGGCAUAAGAAGCACCGGCUAACUACGUG